CGACGUGAGGAACCUGCCUUUCAGAGGGGGACAACAGCUGGAAACGGCUGCUAAUACCGCAUGACGCAUUCGGAUGGCAUCAUCUGAAUGCCAAAGAUUUAUCGCUGAAAGAUGGCCUCGCGUCUGGUUAGAUAGUUGGCGGGGUAACGGCCCACCAAGUCGACGAUCAGUAGCCGGACUGAGAGGUUGACCGGCCACAUUGGGACUGAGAUACGGCCCAG
rnacentral:rRNA from 1 species